GUGCCAGCAGCCGCGGUAAUACAGAGGCCUCGAGCGUUAGGCGGAAUCACUGGGCUUAAAGCGUGUGUAGGUGGAGUUCUAAGUACCUUGUGAAAUCCCACGGCUCAACCGUGGAACCGCUGGGUAUACUGGUUCUCUUGAGGUACCUAGGGGCGAGCGGAACAAGUGGUGGAGCGGUGAAAUGCGUAGAUAUCACUUGGAACGCCAACGGUGAAAACAGCUCGCUGGGGGUAUCCUGACACUGAGACACGAAAGCCAGGGGAGCAAACGGGAUUAGAUACCCCGGUAGUCC
rnacentral:rRNA from 1 species